UGGGGAAUCUUCCGCAAUGGACGAAAGUCUGACGGAGCAACGCCGCGUGAGUGAAGACGGCCUUCGGGUUGUAAAGCUCUGUGAUCCGGGACGAAAGAGCCUGAGGUGAAUAGCCUAAGGAAGUGACGGUACCGGAAAAGCAAGCCACGGCUAACUACGUGCCAGCAGCCGCGGUAAUACGUAGGUGGCAAGCGUUGUCCGGAAUUAUUGGGCGUAAAGCGCGCGCAGGCGGCUUCCUAAGUCCAUCUUAAAAGUGCGGGGCUUAACCCCGUGAUUGGAUUGAAACUGGGAAGCUGUAGUAUCGGAGAGGAAAAUGGAAUUCCUAGUGUAGCGGUGAAAUGCGUAGAGAUUAGGAAGAACACCGGGGGCGAAGGCGACUUUCUGGACGAAAACUUACGCUGAGGCGCGAAAGCGUUGGGAGCAAACAGG
rnacentral:rRNA from 1 species